rnacentral:rRNA from 1 species
AUUGAACGCUGGCGGCAGGCUUAACACAUGCAAGUCGAGCGGGGUGAUGGUGCUUGCACUAUCACUUAGCGGCGGACGGGUGAGUAACGCUUAGGAAUCUGCCUAUUAGUGGGGGACAACAUCUCGAAAGGGAUGCUAAUACCGCAUACGUCCUACGGGAGAAAGCAGGGGAUCACUUGUGACCUUGCGCUAAUAGAUGAGCCUAAGUCGGAUUAGCUAGUUGGUGGGGUAAAGGCCUACCAAGGCGACGAUCUGUAGCGGGUCUGAGAGGAUGAUCCGCCACACUGGGGCUGAGACACGGGCCAGACUCCUACGGGAGGCAACAGUGGGGAAUAUUGGACAAUGGGGGGAACCCUGAUCCAGCCAUGCCGCGUGUGUGAAGAAGGCCUUAUGGUUGUAAAGCACUUUAAGCGAGGAGGAGGCUCUUUUGGUUAAUACCCAAGAUGAGUGGACGUUACUCGCAGAAUAAGCACCGGCUAACUCUGUGCCAGCAGCCGCCGUAA